UACGUAGGGACCGAGCGUUGUCCGGAAUCAUUGGGCGUAAAGAGCGUGUAGGCGGCCUUUUAAGUCCUGCGUGAAAUCCUGCGGCUCAACCGCAGACGGUCGUGGGAAACUGGAAGGCUAGAGUGCGGGAGAGGAGAGUGGAAUUCCCGGUGUAGCGGUGAAAUGCGCAGAUAUCGGGAAGAACACCCGUGGCGAAGGCGGCUCUCUGGAACGCAACUGACGCUGAGACGCGAAAGUGUGGGGAGCAAACAGG
rnacentral:rRNA from 1 species